rnacentral:pre_miRNA from 1 species
UUUCUACUCCCUCCGUCCAAAAAUACUUGUCAUCAAAAUGGAUAAAAAGAGAUAUAUCUAAAACUAAAAUAUGUCUAGAUACAUUUCCUUUUAUCCAUUUUGAUGACAAGUAUUUUCGGACGGAGGGAGUAUUUG